rnacentral:rRNA from 1 species
CCUACGGGAGACAGCAGUGAGGAAUAUUGGUCAAUGGACGAGAGUCUGAACCAGCCAAGUAGCGUGAAGGAUGACUGCCCUAUGGGUUGUAAACUUCUUUUAUAUGGGAAUAAAAUGUUCCACGUGUGGGAUUUUGUAUGUACCAUAUGAAUAAGGAUCGGCUAACUCCGUGCCAGCAGCCGCGGUAAUACGGAGGAUCCGAGCGUUAUCCGGAUUUAUUGGGUUUAAAGGGAGCGUAGGUGGAUUGUUAAGUCAGUUGUGAAAGUUUGCGGCUCAACCGUAAAAUUGCAGUUGAAACUGGCAGUCUUGAGUACAGUAGAGGUGGGCGGAAUUCGUGGUGUAGCGGUGAAAUGCUUAGAUAUCACGAAGAACUCCGAUUGCGAAGGCAGCUCACUAGACUGCAACUGACACUGAGGCUCGAAAGUGUGGGGAGCAAACAGGAUUAGAUACCCGAGUAGUC